rnacentral:rRNA from 1 species
AUUGAACGCUGGCGGCAGGCCUAACACAAGCAAGUCGAGCGGAGAGAGGUAGCUUGCUACCGAUCUUAGCGGCGGACGGGUGAGUAAUGCUUAGGAAUCUGCCUAUUAGUGGGGGACAACAUUUCGAAAGGAAUGCUAAUACCGCAUACGUCCUACGGGAGAAAGCAGGGGAUCUUCGGACCUUGCGCUAAUAGAUGAGCCUAAGUCGGAUUAGCUAGUUGGUGGGGUAAAGGCCUACCAAGGCGACGAUCUGUAGCGGGUCUGAGAGGAUGAUCCGCCACACUGGGACUGAGACACGGCCCAGACUCCUACGGGAGGCAGCAGUGGGGAAUACUGGACAAUGGGCGCAAGCCUGAUCCAGCCAUGCCGCGUGUGUGAAGAAGGCUUUAUGGUUGUAAAGCACUUUAAGCGAGGAGGAGGCUACUUUAGUUAAUACCUAGAGAUAGUGGACGUUACUCGCAGAAUAAGCACCGGCUAACUCUGUGCCAGCCGCCGCCGUAAAAC